GGCUUGGUAGUCUAGUGGUCUAUGAUUCCCGCUUUGGGUUAUUAACCUUGCGGGGGGUCCCGAGUUCAACUCUCGGCCAAGCCC